rnacentral:rRNA from 1 species
GUAGGGAAUCUUCCACAAUGGGCGCAAGCCUGAUGGAGCAACACCGCGUGAGUGAAGAAGGGUUUCGGCUCGUAAAGCUCUGUUGUUGGAGAAGAACGUGCGUGAGAGUAACUGUUCACGCAGUGACGGUAUCCAACCAGAAAGUCACGGCUAACUACGUGCCAGCAGCCGCGGUAAUACGUAGGUGGCAAGCGUUAUCCGGAUUUAUUGGGCGUAAAGCGAGCGCAGGCGGUUGCUUAGGUCUGAUGUGAAAGCCUUCGGCUUAACCGAAGAAGUGCAUCGGAAACCGGGCGACUUGAGUGCAGAAGAGGACAGUGGAACUCCAUGUGUAGCGGUGGAAUGCGUAGAUAUAUGGAAGAACACCAGUGGCGAAGGCGGCUGUCUGGUCUGCAACUGACGCUGAGGCUCGAAAGCAUGGGUAGCGAACAGGA